ACUUGGAUAUGGAUUCUUCACGGUAACGUAACUGAAUGUGGAGACGUCGGCGCGAGCCCUGGGAGGAGUUAUCUUUUCUUCUUAACAGCUUAUCACCCCGGAAUUGGUUUAUCCGGAGAUGGGGUCUUAUGGCUGGAAGAGGCCAGCACCUUUGCUGGCUCCGGUGCGCUCGCGACGGCCCGUGAAAAUCCACAGGAAGGAAUAGUUUUCAUGCCAGGUCGUACU
rnacentral:rRNA from 1 species